UACGUAGGGUGCAAGCGUUGUCCGGAAUUAUUGGGCGUAAAGAGCUCGUAGGCGGUCUGUCGCGUCGGCUGUGAAAACCCGGGGCUCAAUCCCGGGCCUGCAGUCGAUACGGGCAGACUAGAGUGCGGUAGGGGAGACUGGAAUUCCUGGUGUAGCGGUGAAAUGCGCAGAUAUCAGGAGGAACACCGGUGGCGAAGGCGGGUCUCUGGGCCGUAACUGACGCUGAGGAGCGAAAGCGUGGGGAGCGAACAGG
rnacentral:rRNA from 1 species